rnacentral:lncRNA from 1 species
UUUUUAAAAAUAUCAUUUUUUUUCAUGUUGCCGUUAACAGAAUAAUUGAUAGUUUGGAGAGAUUAGACUUUCCUAUUUGACGAGAUCAUCACCGCCAUUUUCAAUAUAAUUGACUCUCAAUCCUUGAAUUACAAGCCAAUGUCACAGCAAAAUUAAUUAAGAUGGCAGAAUUGUGAAGGCAGAAACCAUGAAAUGCGUGGAGGGAAUACAUGAGAAGGCAGAAACCAUGAGAUUAAACGUUUGAAUUACAAGCCAAUGCGUGGAGGGAAUAUAAUUAAGCUUGGUUGUCGGCACCAGCCAAGCUAGCCCUGCCGAGAAACUAAAGGGUAAUUUCCACUUUAAUCGUUAUGAUAUGGAUCAAUUUACCUCUAAUUAAUCCCCAUUGUAUUCUUAAAUUUACUCAGUCAGUCCUUAUCUUUACAUUUAUAAUUGUUGAUUUUUUUUUUUUUCAAGAGUAACAUAGUCUACGAUGUAAUUUGAGUUAAAACUAAAGCAAAUAUGAUAUGUAAGGGGAAGCAAAGUCAAAUCGACUAUUACUUUACAUCUCAAAAUUUUUUUAUUCCAAUAAACUAUAAUAUAUGAUAUGACAUUCAUCAAUUAGUUGGUAAGAUAUUACAAUCAAUUCACUUGGUUCGUGUAAAGAAUUAUCAAUCAUUUAAUAAAUGCUACACUAUUUAAAUAAAACUUGAAAUAGAAAAUUUAGGAUGCUUAUCAUUACUUGGAUAAAUGCCCGUUGAAUUAAAAGAAUUUGAUCCUAAUGAACUUAACUAAGGAACCGUUUAUUUUUUUUAUCUGAAAUCCGAACAUUGUAAGAGGUAGGUUGUUUGUUCUUAUAAACUAAAAAUAUCUUAAAUAUAAUAUUUUUUACAUUUAUGACCUUGAAGUGUCAUAUACACUUGGAAAUUUAAAUAGGUAUAUAUUUACGGCGCUAUCUAGUACAAUAGUAUUUAUGUAUUGUAAAUAUUUACAAGUUAAGCAUUUGAUAUAUAAUUUAUGAAAAAUAAUUUUGAUAUUUUUUACAAUUUAACAUAACAUUUAUACAUAAAAAAUUAUUAUCUAACUAUAAAGAAUUUGCCUAAAAUUCAAAUUGAGUGUAUGUUAAGUAUUUAAGACCAAGUAAAAGUUGAGGUCAAGAGAAAUUCUAAUAUCGCGAAAAAUAAAUAUUAAAGGGUUAGUUUUACAUAAUAGUUAGGUAGGAAAUAAAUACAUUUAAUGAGAGUAUUUGUGAGGAAAGAAAUUGAUUUUUCAUUUAGACACUUUAUCAUUCAGAUAAAAGUCAUGAAAUUUUACUUUUUACAUU